AAUAAACCAAUUUUUUAUUUUUUACAUAUAAUUUUUGACUCUUUAUUUUAUUUAAUUUUUUUUCGAUUGAUAUUUUUGUUUUUAUUAGAUGAUAAAUUAUGGAUAGUAUUUUACGUGUGACUAAUUUUUUUUAAUUUUUUAAAAAUUUUUAAAUAAAACAGAUGGUCAAAGUUGGAUACGGAAACCGAAG
rnacentral:pre_miRNA from 1 species